GACGAACGCUGGCGGCGUGCCUAAUACAUGCAAGUCGAGCGAAGUUUUUCUGGUGCUUGCACUAGAAAAACUUAGCGGCGAACGGGUGAGUAACACGUAAAGAACCUGCCUCAUAGACUGGGACAACUAUUGGAAACGAUAGCUAAUACCGGAUAACAGCAUUAACUGCAUGGUUGAUGUUUAAAAGUUGGUUUUGCUAACACUAUGAGAUGGCUUUGCGGUGCAUUAGCUAGUUGGUGGGGUAAAGGCCUACCAAGGCGACGAUGCAUAGCCGACCUGAGAGGGUGAUCGGCCACACUGGGACUGAGACACGGCCCAGACUCCUACGGGAGGCAGCAGUAGGGAAUCUUCUGCAAAGGGCGAAAGCCUGACGGAGCAACGCCGCGUGAGUGAAGAAGGAUUUCGGUUCGUAAAGCUCUGUUGUUAGGGAAGAAUGAGUGUGUAGUAACUAUACACAGUAGAGACGGUACCUAACCAGAAAGCCACGGCUAACUACGUG
rnacentral:rRNA from 1 species